AUUUAAAUAGUUUAAAAAAAAUUUUGAUUUGUGGAGUCAAAGAUAUAUACAUAUAUUAUAUUUUAAAUU
rnacentral:tRNA from 1 species